CCUACGGGGGGCAGCAGUGAGGAAUAUUGGUCAAUGGACGAGAGUCUGAACCAGCCAAGUAGCGUGAAGGAUGACUGCCCUAUGGGUUGUAAACUUCUUUUAUAAAGGAAUAAAACGAGGCACGUGUGCCUUUUUGCAUGUACUUUAUGAAUAAGGAUCGGCUAACUCCGUGCCAGCAGCCGCGGUAAUACGGAGGAUCCGAGCGUUAUCCGGAUUUAUUUGGUUUAAAGGGAGCGUAGAUGGGUUGUUAAGUCAGUUGUGAAAGUUUGCGGCUCAACCGUAAAAUUGCAAUUGAUACUGGCAGUCUUGAGUACAGUUGAGGUAGGCAGAAUUCGUGGUGUAGCGGUGAAAUGCGUAGAGAUCACGAAGAACCCCGAUUGCGAAGGCAGCUUACUAAACUGUGACUGACAUUGAUGCUCGAAAGUGUGGGUAUCAAACAGGAUUAGAUACCCGUGUAGUC
rnacentral:rRNA from 1 species